GAAGAUUGUCAGGAGAAGGAGAAAGCUGGUUACAUUUUUCUGCAAGAAGAUACUCCUCCCGGCCAUCAGCUGUAUGCAGUUGUCGUGGACACAGGCUUCCGGUCCCCCACCCGCUGCAGUGCCAAGGUUUACAUUGUUCUACGUGGUAAGAACGGGUCUUCAGAACCCAGAGAACUCUACUGUCCGGAGAAGCCCCUGUUCGAAAGGAAUUCCAGACACACUUUCGUCCUGAGGUAAGCAAGGCCCGUCCCAAUGGUGU
rnacentral:lncRNA from 1 species